UACCAGCACCCUGAGUGGUCGGGACGAUUAUUGGGCCUAAAGCAUCCGUAGCCGGUUCUACAAGUCUUCCGUUAAAUCCACCUGCUUAACAGAUGGGCUGCGGAGGAUACUAUAGAGCUAGGAGGCGGGAGAGGCAAGCGGUACUUAGUGGGUAGGGGUAAAAUCCGUUGAUCCAUUGAAGACCACCAGUGGCGAAGGCGGCUUGCCAGAACGCACUCGACGGUGAGGGAUGAAAGCUGGGGGAGCAAACCGG
rnacentral:rRNA from 1 species